AACGAACGCUGGCGGCAUGCCUAACACAUGCAAGUCGAACGAGACCUUCGAGUCUAGUGGCGCACGGGUGCGUAACGCGUGGGAACCUGCCCUUAGGUUCGGAAUAACUCCCCGAAAGGGGUGCUAAUACCGGAUAAUGUCUUCGGACCAAAGAUUUAUCGCCUUUGGAUGGGCCCGCGUUGGAUUAGCUAGUUGGUAGGGUAAAAGCCUACCAAGGCGACGAUCCAUAGUUGGUCUGAGAGGAUGAUCAGCCACACUGGGACUGAGACACGGCCCAGACUCCUACGGGAGGCAGCAGUGGGGAAUAUUGGACAAUGGGCGAAAGCCUGAUCCAGCAAUGCCGCGUGAGUGAUGAAGGCCUUAGGGUUGUAAAGCUCUUUUACCCGGGAUGAUAAUGACAGUACCGGGAGAAUAAGCUCCGGCUAACUCCGUG
rnacentral:rRNA from 1 species